ACAGGCUGGUUGGCGAUGAUGUCGUAGGACUCCAUGGCCGGGCCGCGCCGGCCCUGCCCAGCAGGCGGGCUGCAGGAGGCACCGGAUGGGCGGGCGGGCGGGAGGACCGGGACGGCGGCGGCUCCCGACGCGGCGCCGCUGCCCUCCCUCCCCGAGCCUGCAGCCUACGCGAGCCCCGCGGGGCUUUCUGGAGGGCGGGCCCGGCGGCCAAUCAUCGCUCCCACCUGGCCCGAUUGACAGCAGGUGCCCGGGGCUGGCUGCGCGAAGGGGGCGGGGCCUCCGGAGGCUGGCCAGCCAAUUGAGGUCGUCCGGAAAAAAGUGGUCGCGGCGUUGCCAAGUAUUGCCUGUUUCUGGACUUUGUGCAGAUGAAGUCAUUGGUAUGUAUUCAUUUGCAUCUAGUGUUUAUACAUUCAUAAAAUAGAUCACUGUGUAGCCAUUAAAAAUAAUGAGAGAGUGCUAUAUAAUUUCAUAUGAAACAUAUCAGGACACAUUGCUAAGUAAAAGCAAAGAGAAAGCAGACACCGAGUGUAGACUGUUAUAUGCAUGAAUGUCUCUGAACAGUAUAUGAGGCACCUUCAGGUCUCUUUUUUAUUUUUUUUUUUU
rnacentral:lncRNA from 1 species